UGGAUCGAUGAUGAGCACGGGUGGCGUAUGAGACAUAUACGAUGAAUAUGUGUCGAUCUCUGAGGUCCAA